rnacentral:rRNA from 1 species
UUGCGUAGGUGGCAUAGUAAGUAGGUAGUGAAAGCGUUCGGCUCAACCGGAUAUCCAUUAUCUAAACUGCUAAGCUAGAGGACGAGAGAGGUUAUUGGAAUUCCUAGUGUAGGAGUGAAAUCCGUAGAUAUUAGGAGGAACACCGAUGGCGUAGGCAGAUAACUGGCUCGUUUCUGACACUAAGGCACGAAAGCGUGGGGAGCAAACG